AGCUUGUGCGUUUAAAUGGGUGAGGCACUAAAUGUAUCUUGUUUACCUUAUCUUUCUUUGGAAAAAGUUUUGAAGUCUGGUUGGGUUUGUCACAUCUUGCCUGUUGCCUAGCAUUACCAAAAGUGUUCUUAUUUAGCAACAAAGACUGGAUAGAUGACCUGGCCUCAC
rnacentral:lncRNA from 1 species